CGGGCCCAAAGUCACUAGAGUUUUGCUCCUGGGACGGGACGUCCGAGAGGUACGCUCCAAUUUCCAGUUUCUGUGGAAAUUCAAUAGAGAGAUAAAUGUUGUUUUCAUCAAGUGUUUGUACCAGCUAGUAUUUCUUCCUGAAAAACAAACAAGCAAGGCAACAAAAGCAAAUAUCGAAAAGGAGUAGAACAGCUGGAAUUUAUAAUCUUCCUUCUGAACUAACAGCUUUUGGUUCCAGAGGGCCAUAGUCUUCAUAUACUUCAGCACUCCAUGAAGGCUUUCUUGGUACUGUUCAAAGGCCAGAGGAACUACUAUCACAGAACCAUUCUAGAUGUGAGUUCCUAGUGUGAAAGGACUGGGAGUUAACAGAAGAGCCGCACCAUAUCUUUGUGAAGCUGACUUUUCUUCAUAUACUUCAACCAAAAUUUCAUGUUGCAGCAGGUUGAAUGCUGAAGUACAUAUCGG